rnacentral:tRNA from 1 species
GGUUCCUGCGUAGUGUUAUCACGUUCGCUUCACACGCAAAAGGUCUCCGGUUCGAUCCCGGACAGAACCA